rnacentral:rRNA from 1 species
GGAAGGCCUUUGGGUUGUAAACCUCUUUUCUCAGGGAAGAAGAUCUGACGGUACCUGAGGAAUAAGCAUCGGCUAACUCCGUGCCAGCAGCCGCGGUAAUACGGAGGAUGCAAGCGUUAUCCGGAAAUAUUGGGCGUAAAGCGUCCGCAGGUGGUCUUUCAAGUCUGCUGUCAAAGACCAGAGCUUAACUCUGGGCAGGCGGUGGAAACUGAGAGACUAGAGUUCGGUAGGGGUAGCGGGAAUUCCC